CUCCCCACUCCCGCCUCGUACUCCCCAUCAGCCUUCUCCGUCUCACUUGUUCCGCCUCCUGCCCCAGCUCUGGCUCCUUUUCCGUCUCUAGCUCUGCCUCCAGCUUUGGCUCUUGGUCUUUCUCCACGUCUUUCUCUCCCUUGGCCUCCUUUGGCAGCUCCUGACUCCUCUGUCGCCCAUACCACUGAGUGAAAUCAUUCAGAGCCUCAGCCCAGACCCGGCUGCUGUUCUUGGCAAAGAGGAACUGUGCCUGGGGUACAAAACCUAGGUCUGGCCCAUGCUGAACCGAAGUAGCGGGCAGUGUCCAGUGUACCUGUAGCACAAGUCUCACCCACUCACCUCUAGAAUCCCCGGCCUCACCAUCCCCAGAGGCAGAAGCAGAGACCUCUGAAGCCCUGAUCUCUUCUGGACUCAGCUGUGUAUAUAUUUGGAGCAGGCAUUUCUUAGUUCUCUGUCUGGGUUUUCAACCCUUCCCCUCUGCUGCUACCCUGUUACCAUGGAGAGCACAACACAAAGCUUCAUAGCAGGCCCGGCUACUACUGUUCCCUUGCUUUUCCUUUUCCAUCCAACAUCAUAGACAUCCCAGCCAUAAGCCUCCCAUACCAGAACGUCCACCUGGCCCCCAAGGCCGAGGUGGCACAACUCUGCCACCUUUUACACCCUUUUACACCCCUGUUCCCAGAAGCAAACACGUGUGCUCUGGGCAGAAGUCUUACCCUGGGAUAUAAUGAGGGUUCUGAGGGUUCAGCCCUGGUAUGAAGGUGCUAGCCAUAGCCUUGGGAACCCAGGCGAAGUUCCCUUCGUUUCUCUGAGCCGUUUCUCUGAGCUGAGCUCCUGGGCUGUGUGUGCUGACUGUGUCAAGGGCUGGGAGGCCGAGCCAGAGGCAGGAGGUGGGGCUUGGGGAGGAGAGAGGGGUUGGGGCACUAGUGUGAUGGCUGUCAGGGCCCGGGCCGCAGGGGAGUAGAGGCUCACUGGUCCGUCCACUCCGGAUCAAGGGCAGCCCUGCCACCUGGGGGCAGGGAGAAGGCCGCGUACAGCCUUGCCACUGCAGAACCAAAGGAAGCCCUGAAGUGGCAGGUGGGGGAGCAAAAACUGACAGGCCCAUUGAGCUCUGUCUCGAAAGAGGGCCCUUCCUUCCUAAGCCCCUCUCUGAGCACCUGCCUGAGGAGGUGUGGAUUGUACGCUCUGUGAGUCUUGGUUGAAGGUGAUGGAAUUCCUAGGAAAGCCCAGGGGGGAGGUGAUAGGGAGAAAAGGAACCUAAAGACCUCUAGGCAGUGACAUUGUUUAUUUUCAGUAACGUAAGGACAAGAAUUACUACUAUAAUCCGGAUCAUCAUCCAUUCAACAAAUAUGCCGUGCUCUGCCAGGCAUGCCGUACAGGGGCAGAACGUCAUUUAGUAUCUCUGAACCCUACUAUCCUCAUUUAUAAAAUGCAGGUGCUGCUGUUGUGAGGCUCAGAUUAAUGUAUGCAGAUGUGCUUUGUAACAAACACCUUGAAGCCAGAAUGUGGGGUAGGGGAAAGGGCACAGGCGUGAAGUCAGGCAGCCAUGGGCUCCUAACAGCUUGUGAGCUUGAGCCGACCUUACCUUCUCUGAGCAGGUGGCUUCUUCUGAACCUGAAAUCCCUAAACUCUUAACAUGAAGGUUAAAAUAGCCUAACCUACCAAGGUGGUGUCAAAAAUAAAGUCAGAUAGUGUGUGUGAAAGAACUUACCCCAGCACCUGGCACGCAGCUGCUAAAACUUAAUUUCCUUUCCUAUUGUUUAGUAUCGUCUCUAAGCGUCUAACACAAAUGGGAGAUCAAUGGAUGGUUAGUAAAUUCAGGGGUUACAGGUUUUCUCACUGGGGGGGUUCAAGGGAAGGAGAUAUGAAGGUAAUGUUGAGGUUUAAUGAGGGGGCAAAUUAGAAUUUGUUAAGAAAACAAUUCAGAUCCUAAGAGCAGUACAGACCAGGAAAAAGAUGCGGGGAGGGGAGCAUGAUUAGAACUUCACGGCUGGUUCAGGGCCAGGCUGGUCCACCUUUCCAGGACGCAGAGCCUCUGCUCUCCUCCCCACGCCUGACUGUGCCAGUGCCUGGGCUAACCCAGCAUGUGUCACUGACUUCUUGGGAAUUGCACAAGAGGGCCCCAAAGAAUACAUUUCAUGCUCCUCAGUGUUCUGCCAAGAACACUUGGUAUGUGUCACUGAGAGCUAGAGUUAGAGAGGACUUGGCUCCCAGGAAAUAUGCUAGAGUGAGGGUGGGAGCUGAGGGGAGAGCCCAGAAGAGCAGGAAUAUGUCAAGGCUAACAACCUGGACUUCUGGAUUCUGUAACAGACACUGUUGGUUGCACACCUCAUACCUAUUCCCUACCCCCGUCUCCCUUCUUCCUAACAGAACUUUAAUUUUGUUCUGCCAAGCAGUCAGGAACUUCAGGGAAGCUGGAGCCAGCCGUAGGAAUGAGUCUGGAUUAGUCUAAGCCCAUCAUAGUAGUCCCAUUCCCCUUGCCAGUGACUGGUUAGGCAUGGGCUUGUGGCAACCUGGACAGUAUGAGGGCAAGUCUGCUGGGGUGAAGGAGUGUCCUGGGAAGAGUUUCUUUGCUCUUAAAAAGAUGCACAACAAAUUAGAGAAAGAGAGAUGGACAAGGAGGAAUGAUGUCUUUUCCUGCCUCUAGAAAUUCUGUGGAUGUGAUGCUGGAACCUUGGCAGGCAUCAUGAAACCUGUGGAAAGCUAAGCUAACCUGGGAACAAAGCCUGAAUCCAUGCAGGGUGGAUGGCAGAAUAGCAAGGCCUGGGUCCUUGAUGGUAAUGUUGAGCCUCUGACUUAACCAACCUUCUUAUGAAAUAAUUUCAUUAUUGUUAAGGCCACUUUAAGUUUUCUUUUACUUAGAGCCAAAGGCGUCAUAAUAUAAAAGUAAAACAAAACAAAACAAAAACACUAGUUCUAAAAACAAAAACAAAACGCUAGUUCUAAUCCUAGUCACUAGAGAUACAGACCCUGGCCAAAUUCAUCUCAUCAGCCCUCAGUUUUCUCAUCUAUAAAAUGGGUAAACUAAUGUUACUACCUCAUUGAGCAGGAUAUGGUAGAUGAGAUGAUGCAAAAAGAGCAGCUGGCCCAGUGUCUAACUUGCUAAUAAGUAAAUAGCAAUUCAUUGUGUUUAGUUAGAAUUUGGUAGGAUGGGAGAAAAGAAAAAAGUAGUAAGACUGGGAGUUCGGGGGAAAGAAUCUGUGAAGUUGAGAAAUGGAAAGGUUAGAAUUUAAAAUUGGGAUGUAGAUUAAGAUGCAGGGACUGGAACAAUUUCUGCAGAAAAGACCAUGGCAGCUAGAAUCUGGGUAAGCGUUAAUAUAAGUUAGGAAACAAAUUAUAAUUAGUCUUAGAUUCAUGGUUUGUGAAGAAACAGCUCACUGUUCUUGGUGAAAUGGCUUGUUACUAUUAUUGUUUCCAUCUGUGUAAAGAGUAUUUCUAAAUCCCUGAAGAUUGGAAGGACAUUCUAACCUGGGAAAGGAGUGGAAGAGCUAGCUGAGGGGCCUGUAGGAAUGCUCAUUGCCUUGGUGCCUCCUUCCGAGGGACAGUCAUGGUAACCUACCCACAACUUGUUCCUGACGACAGCUGCCACACCCAGCGGCCAGUGUUGGAUGUGGCAGCAGAGAAAUGUUUCGCUGGAUUACACCCAUCUACAAGAUGAAGGUCCAGUUAGGAAAGUCACGACAGUGCCCUGCUCACUCCACACAGCCUGCUGGGUCUCCCAGAUGGCAGUCUACAACUCUCUUGUGCUCUGCCUUUGAUCUGACCGGGAAUUGCUGUAAAAUUUCAUGUAAAUAAAUACAAAUAGCGAAUCAUGUCGUACACCUGAAACUAAUAUAA